rnacentral:rRNA from 1 species
GGCUCAGGACGAACGCUGGCGGCGCGCCUAAUACAUGCAAGUCGAGCGAGAAGGUGUAGCAAUACACUUGUAAAGCGGCGAACGGGUGAGGAAUACAUGGGUAAUCUACCAUCGAGUGGGGAAUAACCAGCCGAAAGGUUGGCUAAUACCGCGUACGCCUCCGGAUCUUCGGGUUCGGAGGGAAAGCUGCACUGUGAGUGCGGCGCUCUUUGAUGAGCUCAUGUCCUAUCAGCUUGUUGGUAGGGUAACGGCCUGCCAAGGCUUUGACGGGUAGCUGGUCUGAGAGGACGAUCAGCCACACUGGCACUGCGACACGGGCCAGACUCCUACGGGAGGCAGCAGUAAGGAAUAUUGCGCAAUGGGCGAAAGCCUGACGCAGCGACGCCGCGUGGGGGAUGAAGGUCUUCGGAUUGUAAACCCCUUUCGGGAGGGAAGAUGGAGCGAGCAAUCGUUCGGACGGUACCUCCAGAAGCAGCCACGGCCAACUUCGUGCCAGCAGCCGCGGUAAUACGAAGGUGGCAAGCGUUGUUCGGAUUCACUGGGCGUACAGGGAGCGUAGGCGGUUGGGUAAGCCCUCCGUGAAAUCUCCGGGCCUAACCCGGAAAGUGCAGAGGGGACUGCUCGGCUAGAGGAUGGGAGAGGAGCGCGGAAUUCCCGGUGUAGCGGUGAAAUGCGUAGAGA